rnacentral:rRNA from 1 species
AGCUGAUGAGCACGCCGCGUGAGUGAUGAAGGCCUUCGGGUUGUAAAGCUCUGUCUUUGGGGACGAUAAUGACGGUACCCAAGGAGGAAGCCACGGCUAACUACGUGCCAGCAGCCGCGGUAAUACGUAGGUGGCAAGCGUUGUCCGGAUUUACUGGGCGUAAAGGAUGCGUAGGUGGAUAUGCAAGUCAGAUGUGAAAUACCCGGGCUUAACUCGGGUGCUGCAUUUGAAACUAUAUAUCUAGAGUGCAGGAGAGGUAAGUGGAAUUCCUAGUGUAGCGGUGAAAUGCGUAGAGAUUAGGAAGAACACCAGUGGCGAAGGCGACUUACUGGACUGUAACUGACACUGAGGCAUGAAAGCGUGGGGAGCAAACAGGAUUAGAUACCCUGGUAGUCCACGCCGUAAACGAUGGGUACUAGGUGUAGGGGGUAUCGACUCCCUCUGUGCCGCAGUUAACACAAUAAGUACCCCGCCUGGGGAGUACGGUCGCAAGAUUAAAACUCAAG